CGGUGCCGGGCGGGGGCGCCCGCGCCCCCCUGGGCAGCGCGGCGGGGGCUCGCUCGGCCCCGGGGCUCGCUCGGCCCCGGGGGACACGGCCGGCGGGCGUGCGUCAGCGCGGGAAGGGGAGCCUCGCCGCGCGGCCCCCGGUGCGGACAAGGGCUUCUUGUCUCUCAGAAAUGCGCGCCUGCUGCCCUCACCCGCCUGAGCCGCCGUGCGGUAAAACCUGAGGUGCGGACAAGGGCCGUGGGCGAGCCCGUGCCAGCCUGAGGGACAAGCCUUGCCUUGUGCAGGCCGGGUAGGCGGCAGCAGUGCCUCUCUGCGGUGGUCUCGCUGGACAGACGUCUUGUGUGAGCUGGGCCAAAGGAAAAAGGCAGGUAAACUUGCUUCAUCUGAAAGCUCUGGAACGGUAUUGUCAGUUACAGAUGAGUAAACAGAGAAAGAGCUUGUUGACUGCUGACAUGAAGAGAUGGCAAGUUACACAAAGAAUAGCACUAGAGUCAGAAGACUUGGUCUACAAAUACAUACUGUGAGAUCUUUAUCCAGGAGACUAAGGAAGACCUGAAGUUGGGACAGGGGAAAAACUAAAAAGCUGUGUAGAAGUUUGAUGAUGAGUCUCAAAGCUACCAACAGAUUCAGGCUCAUAACCUCCACUGAUUUCAAAGCAAGCUGUUAAUUGUCAUCUAACAGUUUGGUACUGUCAAAUAAAUAACCAUUCUCUAAGGAUAA